ensembl:lncRNA novel transcript
UGGGGAGAGAAAGGAAGUGGAGAACGUUCUUGCAAGAUGAUCUGUAUUUUCUCUCUAAAGCAGAGUUCAUUUGCUGAGAAUGAUGGAGAAAAUCAGCAUCUAGCUAAUCAGCUGACCAUGAGAUGCAGAGAUUAUCUGGAAUUAUCCAGAUUGGUCCAUUUAAUUACAUGAGUCCUUAAAAGUGGAAAGUGGAAGAAGAGGCAGAAGAGUGUGUCAGAGAGAUGCUGUGUGAAAAGGACUCAACCUGCCACUUGAGGCUUUGAGGCUGGAGAAAGGGGCCAUGAACCAAGGAUUGUGAGCAGCCUGUAAAAUCUGGAAAAGACAAGGCAAUACCCUUUGCUGUCUCAGGGUCAAACAUGCAACUCCUGCCUGCUUGUAUGGCCAGCUGGGUUCAAGAAGGAAGGAACCUCAUUGUUGACAGUUACCAGAUGAAUGUGCCCCUUCUGUACAGCUAAGAAAUGGAAUAGACAUUGCCCUACAACCAUACUGAGAAUUUAGCCCUGGGGACAUCUUCCGAUAUAAUCUGGCAUAGAAGAGUGGUUAUCACACCUUUAGCAUGGAUAGAAAUGCAAAACAAUAUUUGUAAUAGUCUGUGCUCACGCUGCUAUAAGGACAUACCCAAGACUAGGACCCUUGAGACACCUUUGCUGUGAAUAAUGGAGAAGCAAAAGGAGUUACUAAUGAAGACAAACUAAACCUGAGAACAGAGAGAGCCUAACUAUGUGCUCCAGAAGUGCCAUGUGUGUCUAAGAACUUUCCAGAUUCAAGAAUGGACAAGGCACUCAGUUAUGAGCAACAAAUUCCUUUUGUCUUGGAGAUCAUGGAAGAAGUAUUAGAUGCUGCUCCCCUUAGUGUAACAGCCAGUUUUGUUGCAGCCUGUGGGGCCUGCAAGCUACACAAAACCACCAGGAUCCUAGAAGAGUCACUAGGAAACGUAGAGUAUUAUAGCUAGAUAAACAUCAUCACAUAUGUGUAAAAGAUAGAGACUGAACAGUCCAGUCUUAAAAUGUAUAGCAAAGUAGUUUGAAUGCUCUUGUUACAGUGAUUUUGUCAUCUACCAAUUUUAAGUGUGUAGUGAUUUAUCUAUCACAUUAUUUGGCAAUACUUUCUGAAUUUUGCAAUACAUGCAACAAUGACCUAAAAAAUGAAAGUGCAUGUUUAAUUUAAAAAUUAAAAGUAAAGCCAGGCGCAGUGGCUCACACCUGUAAUCCCAGCACUUUGGGAGGCUGAGGCGGGCGGAUUACCUGAGGUCGGGAGUUCAAGACCAGCCUGACCAACAUGG